ACGCUCGACACCUACGGGAGGCAGCAGUUAGGAAUAUUCGUCAAUGGAGGAAACUCUGAACGAGCAAUGCCGCGUGAGCGAUGAAGGCCCUAUGGGUCGUAAAGCUCUGUUGUAAAGGAAGAAUACUUGAUAUAGGAAAUGAUAUCAAGCUGACGGUACUUUACCAGAAAGCCCCGGCUAACUACGUGCUAGCAGCCGCGGUAAUCUGAGCGGGCUGGCAAGGC
rnacentral:rRNA from 1 species